UACGUAGGGUGCGAGCGUUGCCCGGAUUUAUUGGGCGUAAAGGGCGCGCAGGCGGCCACGCACGUCCGUUGUGAAAUCGCCCGGCUCAACUGGGCGGGGUCACGCGAUACUGAUCGACUCGAAGGCAGGAGAGGGAAGCGGAGUUCCCGGUGUAGUGGUGAAAUGCGUAGAUAUCGGGAGGAACACCGGUGGCGAAGGCGGUUCUCUGGGCCUUACCUGACGCUGAGGAGCGAAAGCGUGGGGAGCGAACAGG
rnacentral:rRNA from 1 species